UAGGGAAUCUUCCACAAUGGACGAAAGUCUGAUGGAGCAACGCCGCGUGAGUGAAGAAGGUUUUCGGACCGUAAAGCUCUGUUGUUGGUGAAGAAGGAUAGAGGCAGUAACUGGUCUUUAUUUGACGGUAAUCAACCAGAAAGUCACGGCUAACUACGUGCCG
rnacentral:rRNA from 1 species